ACGAUCAUAGGUAGUAGGUAACGAGAAAAGUUGGGGGUAUCAUGAUUCAUCCCUAUCAAAUUCUAAAAAGAUAGGCAUAAAGUCUGAUUGAUGAUACAGGACACUAUGAUCAGAUCGUGAUUAAGGGUUGAGAUCAAGAUCGAUACCGUAGAGGAUCGUUCUUAACAAGUGUUCUCCACCGACUGGGGUGAUCCUGAGGUUGUCUCACAGAUU
rnacentral:snoRNA from 15 species